AUUGAACGCUGGCGGCAUGCCUUACACAUGCAAGUCGAACGGCAGCAUGAUCUAGCUUGCUAGAUUGAUGGCGAGUGGCGAACGGGUGAGUAAUACAUCGGAACGUGCCCUGUAGUGGGGGAUAACUAGUCGAAAGAUUAGCUAAUACCGCAUACGACCUGAGGGUGAAAGUGGGGGACCGCAAGGCCUCAUGCUAUAGGAGCGGCCGAUGUCUGAUUAGCUAGUUGGUGAGGUAAAGGCUCACCAAGGCGACGAUCAGUAGCUGGUCUGAGAGGACGAUCAGCCACACUGGGACUGAGACACGGCCCAGACUCCUACGGGAGGCAGCAGUGGGGAAUUUUGGACAAAGGGCGAAAGCCUGAUCCAGCAAUGCCGCGUGUGUGAAGAAGGCCUUCGGGUUGUAAAGCACUUUUGUCCGGAAAGAAAUGGCUCUGGUUAAUACCUGGGGUCGAUGACGGUACCGGAAGAAUAAGGACCGGCUAACCACGUG
rnacentral:rRNA from 1 species